AGAGAAACAAGAGAAAAAUUUCAAUCGAGUCGAUGAAUAUGUGAAGGAUUGUCCGGUAAAAGGAAGCUGUGUUACAGGAUUACCUCUCAGACUGAUGGAAGAUGAGUGUUUUGGAGGAAGAGAAGGACGGAUCAGGGUCUCCAGCAUGGAUGAAGAUUGAUAGGUCCAAAGAGAGUCCUCCAAGCUUCAGUAAUGAACCUGGACCCUCAGACACAAAAAAGAGGAAGAGGAGUGGUGUCUCUGUGGAAGAGCAGCUGUCCUGUUGUGCUCUGUGUCAGGAUGUCCCGAAGGAUCCAGUCUCUACCAGCUGUGGACACUCGUUCUGCAGACAGUGUAUCACCUCGUACUGGGACCAGUCUAGUUCAUCAGGAGACUCCUCCUGUCCCCGGUGUGGAAAAAGAGCCAAAACG